AAUAUACCUGCAUGUCAACCGCUUUGAUGGCUUCAUUCGUUCCUAGUUUGGAACCCUCAGUCAUCAAUAUCCAUUCCCAUGAAGUAAAUCACAACUGAUUCUCCAGCGUUGGCUUCAGGUGGGUAGUCAGUCUCUUUGAUGACUUCAACGCUGGCCAAUGUCGAAUUCGAUUCGCCAUCGCUGUCCGUCACCGUUAAUCCGAAUGUAUAAUUUCCCGGCACCAGAUCUGUUUCGUAAAAUGAAAUUACUGAAGGUUUGCCAUAAAUGAAUUUACUGGAAAUCCUCA